rnacentral:rRNA from 1 species
UACGAAGGGGGCUAGCGUUGCUCGGAAUCACUGGGCGUAAAGCGCACGUAGGCGGGUUGUUAAGUCGGGGGUGAAAUCCUGGAGCUCAACUCCAGAACUGCCUUCGAUACUGGCGACCUUGAGUCCGGGAGAGGUGAGUGGAACUCCGAGUGUAGAGGUGAAAUUCGUAGAUAUUCGGAAGAACACCAGUGGCGAAGGCGGCUCACUGGCCCGGUACUGACGCUGAGGUGCGAAAGCGUGGGGAGCAACAGG